rnacentral:rRNA from 1 species
AUUGAACGCUGGCGGCAGGCCUAACACAUGCAAGUCGAGCGGAGAUGAGGUGCUUGCACCUUAUCUUAGCGGCGGACGGGUGAGUAAUGCUUAGGAAUCUGCCUAUUAGUGGGGGACAACAUUCCGAAAGGAAUGCUAAUACCGCAUACGCCCUAAGGGGGAAAGCAGGGGAUCUUCGGACCUUGCGCUAAUAGAUGAGCCUAAGUCGGAUUAGCUAGUUGGUGGGGUAAAGGCCUACCAAGGCGACGAUCUGUAGCGGGUCUGAGAGGAUGAUCCGCCACACUGGGACUGAGACACGGCCCAGAAUCCUACGGGAGGCAGCAGUGGGGAAUAUUGGACAAUGGGGGGAACCCUGAUCCAGCCAUGACGCGUGUGUGAAGAAGGCCUUUUGGUUGUAAAGCACUUUAAGCGAGGAGGAGGCUCUCUUAGUUAAUACCUAGGAAGAGUGGACGUUACUCGCAGAAUAAGCACCGGCUAACUCUGUGCCAGCCGCCGCAGUAAAAC